CAUCUUCAGCUCAGCGUCACUCGUAACAAUUGUGGCAGCACUAAGAAGUGUGUGUCGUUUCCAUCUAAUUGUGAUCCUGCAGGAACCUCCAGCUGCUUUUUCGUCUCAAUUCAGUUAAAAAACCAAAUGUUCUUCUUUGAACUCAGCGGCACAACGGCUGGAUAUGUCGCAUUGGGACUCAAUAAACAGGGAACUACCAUUUUGUUUGCCUGCAUCAAUAUCAGCAACAGUUUCUUCUUCCAAACAGGUAUUCAAAAAGGCCAAAUUUGGACCCCUGCUAAUGUGACCAUUGUGUACAACGUUCAAGGUGUAGUUGCACAAAACCCAAGUCUUAUUCACUGUAUCUUCAACACCAGUGCCAGUUUCACCAUCAGCAACAAAUCUGAUGAGACCUCAUUUAGUGUCUCCAUUCUGAGUGGAACCACCAAUGAAAUCCAACUGGGAAAUGCAGCUAUAAUGUUUGACUCCAAAGUACCAUUAAACCUGACUGAUCCCACUGGCCAGAACAGCAGCAACUCAAUCGUCAGCCGCUG
ensembl:lncRNA